GUACUUCCCUGGCAGAGGAGACAUCAUGAUCAGAAAGGUGGUUUCCCCAGGGUAAAGCUCAUCCAUUGUAUUCCAGGUGUUCUGAGCCCUGCGGUUUUUCCAGACAUGGGAAACUCAACAGCUGCACAAUUUGUGGUAGUGGAAGACUGCAUUGGCAUGCUCUCU